rnacentral:rRNA from 1 species
UACAGAGGGGGCAAGCGUUGUUCGGAAUUACUGGGCGUAAAGGGCGCGUAGGCGGCCCGCUAAGUCGAACGUGAAAUCCCCGAGCUCAACUCGGGAACUGCGUCCGAUACUGGCGGGCUUGAAUCCGGGAGAGGGAUGCGGAAUUCCAGGUGUAGCGGUGAAAUGCGUAGAUAUCUGGAGGAACACCGGUGGCGAAGGCGGCAUCCUGGACCGGCAUUGACGCUGAGGCGCGAAAGCUAGGGGAGCAACGGG